ensembl:lincRNA
CUGUGAGGUGCUUUUUGCAUUCCGCUGUAGGACAUUAGUUCCAGUAGAGGGCAGCAUUUCUCCGUAAUUCACCUGCUGUGCUUUUAACAAAGACGCCAAGUCUCUCUUCGCCUUCGGCUUUGUUGUUUCAUUCGACAUAGCUUUAAGUUCUUUGUAUUAAGUUAUACUUGUAUUUAGCUCAAGUUUUACCUACUAUCACGUGAAGCACGUUUAGGCUAUGGAAAAUAAUUUAGCACAAGAUGUAAACUGAGCUAAUGUUAUUGCUCACAACUCAUAUGUCGCUCUGAUCAAAAAUAAAAACAUCCAGCCUGAGGUUAACAGGAGAAGUCGACCUUUUGGCUUUUUGAAAAUAUAUAUUUCUUUUAAGCAGCAGGCAUGUGCAAUUGACAGCACACUGCAUAAUUAAAACGACUGUGAAAAGUCCUGAAAUUGCCCUGAGAGUUAAUGAAGUCGCACAGUGUGAUGAGGGAAGAUUGUGGUGGAAAGGGGUCAGCAGGCCUCUUCAGGCCUCUCGUCCAUGGAAAAUGGCUGCUGUCAGCCGUCGAACAUUAUGGGAAUCUGAAUGCCCACACAGUACACUCGAGCCGAGAUUAAUGACUUCAAAUAGUGGCGUUUGGCAGAAGAGUUUCGUUUGCACUCUCAAAGGGACAAAAAACGUUGAGGAGGAUGAAAACUUUGGAUGUCUGGUGUCAGGAAACAGACACAUCACAUCAACCCAUGUUUGUCCUUCCGUCUCCUUCACUCCCCCGCUUUUUUGGCACAGCGACCCGCGGUGCUUACUGUAAGCCUGCAGGGGCCAUUCCGGCCCGCUGGCCUUUUCCUCCACACCUGUUUCAGAGGAGACAUGUUGUGUUAGAGCUUCAAGUCCCUUCCACUAAUGAGCAAAGCGUCCCACUGAAAGGAACAUUGAGCGUCUGCCCCCCUCCCACUCGGGAUGAAAGUGCGAGAGAGACAUGACCAAAGUCGUCUCCGCUUUGACAAACAUGAAAAGCUUCCCCGGCGUGUAACUUGAGGAAUUGGACACUCAGAGAAGAGGGAAGGGCUUUCAGUCGGACUAGGCUUGCAACCGACCUCUCCAACCCCCCUUGCAAGUUUCCACUUAUGAGAAAGAGGACAAAUGAAGAAGAAAGAGGGAAGCAAGAGAAAGGGGCCCUCAGCGUGCGAACAGCACCUCUCGGGUUGCUCGAGAUUGUUCAAAGUGACUGCGCUUCACAGAGCCCCUUCAAGAGAACAUCUCCGGCUCUUCACAGCCAUCGCAUCUGACAAGCAGCGGGCUCCUGUUAAAAGCACUGUCGAAUUAGAUCUACAAAACAAACCCAUGCUACACUAGAGGUGGACUUGGUUCGAGAGCACGCGUGUGCCUCAACGGCGCAUAGUUUGAACGAUUGAAAGUGUAAAAGUGCGACGACACUGGUCCCCGAGCACGCGUGGGGUGUGUUUAAUUUGACUGAUAUAGGGCGCCGCAGACGGAAGUAUGUCUAAUGAAGGGGAGAGAUGUACUCUUGUGUGACAGCCCUCCAGAAGCAAGGGCUCACAAAAAGCUCUACAGAGGCACAGAAACAAAGCAGCGAGCUUUUGAUUCUGCUGUACAGCUGACACUUCAGCUUCUCUUGUUCUCCUAGCCAAAAGUCCCUUUGUUAAACAUUCGGUGUUAUAGGAUUUUGAAAAGGUAAGAAAUAUAGAGUGGCCCUGAAAACUAUACUUUACUGACAUUUUCAAAUGUAUAUGCAUAUUGUCAUGUGUAACAAUAUGCAGAGGUAAUUAUUUGAAAGAAAUAUAGAGCACUGAAUUGUGAAACUUUGUAGAUACACAGCCCAAAAUUCCGGCAAAUGUAUUUGAAUCCUUGAUUUUAGCUAAUUGUUUUCUAUAUUCACAGGUCACAUAUCAAAUGUAUAAUGUAUAUAAACUUACUAACCACUUUAUUAGAUGCACCUUACUAGUACCGUUUUGGAUCCUCUUUUGCCUUCAGAACUGCCUUAAUCCUUUGUGGCAUAGAUUUAACAAGGUACUUGAAAUAUUCCUCAGAGAUUUCGGUCCAUAUUGACAAGAUAGCAUUACAUA